UAUACCUACGGGACGCAGCAGUGGGGAAUAUUGCACAAUGGGGGGAACCCUGAUGCAGCGACGCCGCGUGAGUGAAGAAGUAUUUCGGUACGUAAAGCUCUAUCAGCAGGGAAGAAAAAAGGACGGUACCUGAGUAAGAAGCCCCGGCUAACUACGUGCCAGCAGCCGCGGUAAUACGUAGGGGGCAAGCGUUAUUCGGAUUUACUGGGUGUAAAGGGGGCGCAGACGGCGAUGCAAGCCAGGAGUGAAAGCCCGGGGCCAAACCCCGGGACUGCUCUUGGAACUGCGUG
rnacentral:rRNA from 1 species